rnacentral:tRNA from 1 species
GGGCCUGUAGUUUAUGUGGUAAAAUCUCAUCUUCGACACAUGAAGAACCGGGUGCAAAUCCCGGCAAGUCCG